GGACUAUCAUUUAUAAUACCAUAACUAAAAAUGUACAGCAUUUCUGUCCAUGUGGCCUCAAACACAAAGUCAACAGUGAAAGGAAUGCUAUCCAUCUGACGAGAACGCAGUGGACAGUACAGCAGGUAUGUUGCAAGCAGACAUAAUAUGUGAACGGAACGUACACAAGAUCACCGCCUGCUCCUCUGCCUCACGUUUGCCUUCUGCUGGACAGCCAGCCAUGUGUCCCCAUUCAACACUGUCCAGGUCAUCUCGUCUGACAUUAUUCACAAACUUCCUUCAGAUGCCUUCAGAUCUUCAACACUAGUCAUCUUUCGUUCAUCUAAUGCCCCUACACCAUCACAACACUGUGGGCACAAUGCAUCAUUUUUCACCUACUACCUCUAUGAUCCAAAAGAGUGCAGAAUCUGCGGACUUUGAACAACAUCCAGAGUACUGUGUUUCCAAGCACCACACAUGGCUGAUCAUCCAGACCGAGAACAGAGUAACGGACAGUUCAGUCACGCAGCGUUUGUAGUGUGGCAAUGCGGAGCACUUGGUCACAGAGUCGUGAUAAUGAUUUGCUGUUUCUGGAAGAUAUG